rfam:Felis catus isolate Cinnamon breed Abyssinian chromosome C2, whole genome shotgun sequence.
GCCUGGGUGGCUCAGUCGGUUGAGCGUCCGACUGCAGCUCGGGUCACGAUCUCACAGUUUGCGGGUUCGAGCCCCUCGUCGGGCU